rnacentral:piRNA from 1 species
UUAGAGUCGAUCUAAAGAACUACUUCUAAAC